AGUUCGUGGAGUGAUCUGUCUGCUUAAUUGCGUUUCACACAGGACAAUAAAAAUACAACGUGAUGUUCCUUACGUGUGACACUAUUUCUUUUGAAAUAUUGCUGUCCCGUAAUACUCCGUUGUAUCUACUGUUCCUGCCUGCAACGAACGUGACCGCAACCUCUUGUUGUCUUCGUUACAACUGUGAUAUUAGUAUUAUUUUUAUAAUAUUAAUUCCUAUGAAGACCUUGAACUAGAGGGACCGCUGACAACUUUUCAAACCAGAGGAAGGUUGCGGCAAUAACAGGUCU
rnacentral:rRNA from 1 species